GAAAUGCGAAAAGUAGUGUGAAUUGCAGAAUUCAGUGAAUCAUCGAAUCUUUGAACGCACAUUGCGCCCCUUGGUAUUCCAUGGGGCAUGCCUGUUCGAGCGUCAUUUUGUACCCUCAAGCACUGCUUGGUGUUGGGCGUUUGUCCUGCAAAGGACUCGCCUGAAAGCGAUUGGCGGCCAACGUACUGGUGGUAGAGCGCAGCACAAUUUGCGUCUCUCCCCUCUGCGUCGGCGUCCAUGAAGCCUUUUUUCAACGUUUGACCUCGGAUCAGGUAGGGAUACCCGCUGAACUUAA
rnacentral:misc_RNA from 2 species